CAGCACCUCAAGUGGUCAGGAUGAUUAUUGGGCCUAAAGCAUCCGUAGCCGGCUCUGUAAGUUUUCGGUUAAAUCUGUAUGCUCAACAUACAGGCUGCCGGGAAUACUGCGGAGCUAGGGAGUGGGAGAGGUAGACGGUACUCGGUAGGAAGGGGUAAAAUCCUUUGAUCUAUUGAUGACCACCUGUGGCGAAGGCGGUCUACCAGAACACGUCCGACGGUGAGGGAUGAAAGCUGGGGGAGCAAACCGGAUUAGAUACCCGAGUAGUCC
rnacentral:rRNA from 1 species